UUGUAAUUCUAUAUUCAUAAAAAUAUAGAGAAUGAUUUUUCUAUGAAAUUCCGACUUCUGAUUAUGUAUGCAAAGAAGGCACAAAAAUAUCUUUGAAAUAUCACUACAGUAAAAGUAUCAAUUACCGAAGGAUACAUAGCGACGGCCAUCAAGCCUUCGGUAAAUCUGUAUUACCGAAGGCUUUUCCGACAGCCUUUUAAUGUGACGUUUAUCGAAGGGCAAUGGCCGUCUGUAUUGGCACAAUGCAUUUAGCGAAGGAUUUUCGCCGCCGGUAUGUUACUCAGACUUAAUGAAAUAAAAAUUCAGUUUCCCAUUCUGCCAAAAUCUUUUUCGCGUGAGAACUUCUUCCCCGUCCUUUUCCUCUAGAACCCCCAAACCUAACCACUGUCAAAUUUUUGUGAAAUUUCACUUCAAUGGCUCUGUGUUAGCUCU
rnacentral:lncRNA from 1 species